CUCUCCUGAACGCGCCACGUCAGAUUCCAGCGUGGAAAUAGGAGGCAUCUCGCGCAGACACAUCAGAUACGCACCGUAUCACUUAAGUUUUGUUCUGUCGGAACAGGCUUCACUUGGGCUUCGUCACGCUUAUCUAAUCUUCUUCGACUUGAGGCCCAUCGACACAAUCUUCGGGAAUCCUAAACAGAUGCGUUCCCUUCCUGAUCUUCGUUCGUUCUUCUUCAUACAGAUCUAGAAAUCCGUCGGUUACCGAUUCAUUCCUAUUAAUUCCUUCAUCAAUCCAUCGUACACGAUCUAUCUUCAAUGCCAUCUUUUCUCUUCGAAGGCGGUGGUGGUUUGACUAUAAAAAGGUUAGCAUCCCUACACUCUUAAUCAUCCUAUCACUCUAUUGAACAAAUCAAUCUACUUAUUUACUGAGAAAUGGCUUGCUCUCGAGAUCAUCUAUCCAUCUCGAUACGUUUUGAGAUCGAAGAGAUGGGUAAAGUGGCUGUUGGUGCGACGGUUGUCUGCGCAGCGGCGGUUUGCGCGGCGGCGGUGUAUAUAGUGAGGCGGCAGAUGGAAAGCUCGGGGGAAAUGGGAGCGUGUGAUAGAGAUCCUGAGGGUGAUGGAGGAGGAUUGCGGGAGGUGGGAAUCUGAGACAAGUGGCUGACGCAAUGACUGUUGAGAUGCACGCGGGCGUCGCUUCUGAAGGUGGAAGCAAGAUUAAAUGCUCAUCAGCUAUGUUGAUAAUCUUCCUUCUGGACGAUGGUGCCAGCUUUUCUCCAAGGUUUUGCCGUUUUUUUUUCGGGUUCAACCUUAAACCAACUCAAACGUCAGAAAUAUUAAACGUGGUGGCGACCUCAUUGGAGUAAAUAUGCUUCUUCUGGAAUCUAAGUUUUAAAUUGUCUUUGGAGGCUAAGAUUGUGGAUCCGGAUACGGGUCGUGACUUGGGGGUUGAUCGAACUGGCGAACUCUGGUUCCAGAGUCCUACCGUGAUAAAGGUUAUUCCAAGAACGAGGAAGCUACUGCUUUUACUAUUGAUUCAAAAGGAUGGCUGAAGACUGGAGUUUUGUGUUACACUGACAGUGAACGUUUUGUCUUUAUUGUUGAUAGAUUAAAGGAGCUAAUCUAAUGCAAUGCUUAUCAGGUUGCUCCAGGUGAACUAGAAGCAGUGUUGCUAGCUCAUCCAGAGAUUGCUGAUGCAUCAGUAAUGCCGUGAGGACUUAUCGAAAGUGAGCUCAUGAGCUUGGGGAUGUAGCUCUUACUUUUCUAUUAUUGUUUUUGUAGUAUCCCUGACAAUAAAGCUGGGCAAUAUCCAAUGGCAUAAAUCGUCAGAACAUCUGGAAGCAACUUAUCCGAAAGUGAGCUCAUGAGCUUAGUCUCAAAGCAGAGGAUACGUAAAGUCACGUUUUUGUCUUCAAUCCCCAAAAGUCCAUCAUGCAAGAUUGUAAGAAGAGAACUUAUAAAGCUCACAACCUCAAAGUUCUAGCAGGAAGUCAUGUUCACCAGCCUUAUCUCACACUUCACCAUUAGUUAUCCGUCCAGGAAUCAAAUAAGUCAUAUCAUUCACUACCUAUAUUUUCUAGGUAAGGAUCAGAAUCCAUAUUUGAAAGCUUGAUUUUUGGUGUUUGUUAUACAUAAAAACGAAUAAAAAAAAUAACUUUACAACAUGUUUAUUGGGUUAGA